AUAAUUUUUGUAGCGUAAAAGUAAAAUAAAUCCAUGCAUAUAGUAACACAGAUAACUAGAGUAUGUAAUUUAAUUUACAAUGACGUGUGGGUUCCCAAAUGACGAAAGGUAACAAAGGCUGUGGACCUACAAUUUCUAAGGAGGCGAGUCCAAUAAUAACCCUCGACGUAAUUAGCUAUUUAUGGACUGUCCUAAUCCUGGAAUGACUAAAAAUGAGGGUGGUGAGUUUAUAUAAACUCAGUGACUAAACAAACAUCAUCUAAAAUAUCUAAAUUCGAGUAAAUUGAGACAACUUAAAAUAAUUCAUCGUACUAUGAUUCAUAACGUUUCAAACUCAUUUCAACUAAAUAAAAUAAUUUCAUUUCACUCAAAUAAUCAACAUAGCUUAUGAAUUUUUUAAAAAUUUAGCUCGUGUCAAAACUCAUUCUCGGGGAUACCUUGGCCGGGGCAUCCAACCGAGUCUGCCAAGGCUAUUAAAGAAAAGUUCAUAUACACAUAAAAUACAUUUUUACGUUUAAAAGCAUAGCCCUUCCUUGGCGUUGGCUGAGUUCACUCUCACGUGGUGGUUUAACGUGUAGUGAACUCUAAAGCUUUACCUCAAGAGAUACCCUCCGCGCCUCUCGUACUAAGGUAAAAUAUAAUCGGGUUAUCGUGCCCCUCUCUAAUAAGCUGGUCCACGGAAACCCCAACUGCAGUGACUAAUCAAUAUCCCACCAAAUCAAUAAAAGUUUCGACAGCAUGACAUGACAAUUAUAUUACUACCUAGCCUGUUAAGGCAAAACAAAUAGUUCAUACAAUUUCAACACAAUUUCCAAUUCAACCAUUUAUGCUAAUAUCACCAUAAGCCAUUCAAUUCAAACCAUAAAUUUACAAUACAAUCAAACAUUCUCCAAUUACUCAAUUUCUAAAAUCAUCAUUCAAUUUCAAAAUGAUUUAUAAAACUCAUUUCAUUUAAUCACAUUUUACUUAUAAAACAUAAGGAUUUACCAUUUAAACUCAUUUUUCUAUAAAAUCACAAAAACGAAUAAAAACUACUUUAGAUAACUAAGACGAUAAUAAGGUUACUCACAAUAUCGGGAGUCGAUGUACUCCUAAGCCCGGUCUUCGAGUACAAUCUCCUUACCGUUAUCGGAAGUUUCACCACCUAAACAUAAUGCACAACAAGCAAUUUAUUAUAUUUGUAUUAAACCGUUAUAAAACUAAUUUAGGCUCUAUAUAAAUGCAUGAAAUGGGAUGCGAAAUGUUCAUAUUAUUAUCUAAAUAUGGUGUUCUAUGUAGUUUCAAUUAUGUAUCGAAAUAAAAUGGUAUUGGCCUAAUUCGAUCUAUACACCGGUUAAUUGGCCAAUACAUCCAAUUCAACUUCGAUUAACUUGAUUCCACUUCCAACACUCCAAGUCAUCAAUUACAAGUUAAAUAAUAUGUAAUAUCACAAAAAUCCAUCAUCAAUAUCUUCCUUGUAAAAUUCGGCCAUUGAAGGUUUAGUGUAGAAUAUGUAAUUUUCAUGCUUGAUUUUUACACCUUACAUCAUAAAACAACUAAAAUCACCUAAAUAGCAUGAAAUUCAUCAAAGUCCAUUAUCCAAUUUCUCUCUUGAAAUUUCAGCCAAGGAGUGUGGGUGAAGGGCAUGAAAUGUCUUGCUUGUUUUUCAUGCUAAACAUUACCAAACAACUAAAAACACUAAGAUACCUUGAAAUCUAACCAAAUAAAUCAUCAAAUCUUCUCUCCCUAAAAUCGGUCAGCCAUGAAUCCUUCAUGAGAUCUUGAAUUUUAACCAUGGUAAUUGAAAAGAAUGCAUAGGAAAGGUAGAUCACAAGCUAGAAUUAAGAAAUUUUACCUUUACUUGCUUAAUUCCUUGAAAUCCAAUAAAUUUUCUCUUGAUUUUCUUCUCUAGGGUUUGUUCUAAGCUUUUUCCCUUUUGUUCUUAGCUUGGCCGGC
rnacentral:lncRNA from 1 species